GAUGAACGCUAGCGACAGGCCUAACACAUGCAAGUCGAGGGGCAGCACAUGAGUAGCAAUACGAUGGUGGCGACCGGCGCACGGGUGAGUAACACGUAUGCAACCUGCCUGUAAGAGGGGGAUAACCCGGAGAAAUUCGGACUAAUACCGCAUAAUACCACGAGACUGCAUGGUUUUGUGGUUAAACAUUUAUGGCUUACAGAUGGGCAUGCGUAUGAUUAGAUAGUUGGUAGGGUAACGGCCUACCAAGUCUACGAUCAUUAGGGUUCUGAGAGGAAGGUCCCCACACUGGUACUGAGACACGGACCAGACUCCUACGGGAGGCAGCAGUGAGGAAUAUUGGUCAAUGGGCGAGAGCCUGAACCAGACCAAGUCGCGUGAAGGAAGAAGGUUCUAUGGAUUGUAAAC
rnacentral:rRNA from 1 species